UACAGAGGGCUCGAGCGUUGUUCGGAUUCAUUGGGCGUAAAGGGUGCGUAGGUGGCGCUGUAAGUCGGGUGUGAAAUCCUGAGGCUUAACCUCGGAACUGCAUUCGAUACUGCGGCGCUUGAGGACUGGAGAGGAGACUGGAAUUCAUGGUGUAGCAGUGAAAUGCGUAGAGAUCAUGAGGAAGACCAGUGGCGAAGGCGGGUCUCUGGACAGUUCCUGACACUGAGGCACGAAGGCCAGGGGAGCAAACGGG
rnacentral:rRNA from 1 species